GUUUUAAUAGUUUAACGAAAAAUUAUGAUCUUGUAAAUCAUAGAUAGGCAAUCCUUUAAAACU
rnacentral:tRNA from 1 species